rnacentral:rRNA from 1 species
UUCCGGUUGAUCCCGCCGGACCUGACUGCUAUCGGAUUGAUACUAAGCCAUGCGAGUCUUUGUAGUAAUACAAGGCAGACGGCUCAGUAACACGUAGUCAACCUACCCUAUGGACGAGAAUAAUCUCGGGAAACUGAGCAUAAUUCUUGAUAGAUCAUAAUGCCUGGAAUGGUUUAUGGUUAAAAUGAUUCGUCGCCAUAGGAUGGGACUGCGGCCUAUCAGCUUGUUGGUGAGGUAAUGGCCCACCAAGGCGAUUACAGGUACGGGCUCUGAGAGGAGAAGCCCGGAGAUGGGUACUGAGACACGGACCCAGGCCCUAUGGGGCGCAGCAGGCGAGAAAACUUUGCAAUGUGCGAAAGCACGACAAGGUUAAUCCGAGUGAUUUCUGCUAAAGAAAUCUUUUGCCAGUCGUAAAACCGCUGGUGAAUAAGGGGUGGGCAAGUUCUGGUGUCAGCCGCCGCGGUAAAACCAGCACCUCAAGUGGUCAGGAUGAUUAUUGGGCCUAAAGCAUCCGUAGCCGGCUUUGUAAGUUUUCGGUUAAAUCCAUGUGCUCAACGCAUGGGCUGCCGAAAAUACUGCAUAGCUAGGGAGUGGAAGAGGUAGACGGUACUCAGUAGGUAGGGGUAAAAUCCUUUGAUCUAUUGAUGACCACCUGUGGCGAAGGCGGUCUACCAGAACACGUUCGACGGUGAGGGAUGAAAGCUGGGGGAGCAAACCGGAUUAGAUACCCGGGUAGUCCCAGCUGUAAACGAUGCAGACUCGAUGAUGCAUUGGCAUAAUAGCCAUUGCAGUGUCGCAGGGAAGCCGUUAAGUCUGCCGCCUGGGAAGUACGUACGCAAGUAUGAAACUUAAAGGAAUUGGCGGGGGAGCACCACAAGGGGUGAAGCCUGCGGUUCAAUUGGAUUCAACGCCGGG